UCUCCGUAGGUGAACCUGCGGAGGGAUCAUUACCGAGUGAGGGUCCUUGUGGCCCGACCUCCAACCCCCUGUCUUCCGACUCUGUUGCCUCGGGGGCGACCCUGCCGCUUCGGCGGUGCGGCGCCCCCGGAGGCCAUUAAACACUGCAUCAUUGCGUCGGAGUUAAAGUAAAUUAAACAAAACUUUCAACAACGGAUCUCUUGGUUCCAGCAUCGAUGAAGAACGCAGC
rnacentral:misc_RNA from 1 species